UGCUCAGGAUGUUCGAUUAGAGGAUAGACAAUCUUAUGAAAGCAGGACUCCAUCAGUUCCAUUGCCUCAUAGAUCCAUUGGUGAUGAUUCUAUUACUCUUGGUCCUCAGGGUGGUCUUGCUAGGGGAAUGUCCAUUAGAGGGCCACCAGCUAUGUCUAGUGGUCCUUUGGGUGAUAUUUCUCCUGGUUCAGGAGACUCUAGAAGGUUGACAGCCGGUUUGAAUGGUUAUAGUUCUGUACCGGAUAGGACAACUUACAGUUCAAGAGAGGAAAUCAUGCCAAGGUACAUCCCCGAGAGAUUUGGUGGUCCAUCUGCCUAUGACCAGUCAAGUACACAAGACCGAAAUCUGCAGUAUGUAAACAGGGAUGUAAGAACCCCAGAUCGUGGCUUUGAUCGAUCUCUUGCCACCUCUCCACCUGCACGGGCACACGGACCAGCUGUCUCACAAAAUGUUCCUCCAGAGAAGGUAU
rnacentral:lncRNA from 1 species